rnacentral:sRNA from 2 species
CCCUAGCCCGGAUUAUAGUGGAAAGCCCGGAAUAAAAAAUGCAAAAGUUUCUUGUUUUGAAAAAGCGACCAACGGAAGCUCUUUUUAAAACAUCAGAAACUUUGCGUUUUUUAUGAGGACUUGUAGCGAAAAGCCGGAAAUAGC